rnacentral:rRNA from 1 species
AGUGAACGCUGGCGGCGUGCUUAACACAUGCAAGUCGAGCGAAUUUCAGCAGUGUAUCGCUGGAGUUAGCGGCAGACGGGUGAGUAAUAUUUGGGCAAUCUGCCCUUAAGAGGAAAACAACCUGCCGAAAGGCGGGCUAAUGUUCCAUAAGACCACGGGAUGGCAUUAUCCAGGGGUUAAAGCUCCGCAAGGGGCGCUUGAGGAGGAGCCCGAAUCCUAUCAGCUAGNGGUGAGGUAAUGGCUCACCAAGGCUUUGACGGGUAGCCGGCCUGAAAGGGUGACCGGCCACACUGGCACUGAGACACGGGCCAGACUCCUACGGGAGGCAGCAGUGGGGAAUUUUGGACAA